rnacentral:lncRNA from 1 species
GCGCGUCGUAGGAGGCAACAUCCGGGAUCCUCGCCAGUCGGGGGCGGGGCAAAAAGAGAGGGGCGGGGCUCGUUCCCGGGAGCAGAGCCUGGAGUCCCCGCCGGCGGUGGAGUUGGAGCAGUUACCGUCCGUGGGAUUGGAGGAGCUUUUUGUUGUCUCCACGCACCGCGCAGGGCUUCUCCCGGUGGUGCUGCGAGUUCGGAGGUCGGCAGCCAAGCACAGCGUCCUAGCGACUGAGGCCGGAGCAAACACUUCUCCAAACCAUCGUUCUCCCCCGCCUUGCCUCUGCGUCCUGCCGUUGGUGGAUAGCGGAACCAGCACUUCUGCGGGCACAACCUCGCUUAACCCGGAUCGGAAGCUCCCGAGGGUGGGCCCUUCCCAAAUCCCGGACCGCUCCGUCUUGUGCUUCCUUAGCGUUCCACAGGCCGGCGUCCGGAGGGCCUGCUUUAGCUUUACUCCUCCUCUUCCUCCUCCUUCUCCCGCGGCUUCUGCGCCGAGAGGCGUUGCCCGGAUUUGGGGUUUGGGAAGAGGGAUCUUUGUGGGAAGACAGAAGGCGAAUUUAUCCUCGAGGGAUGACGAGAGGAGAAAGAUCUGUAGUUCGUGGAGAUGAUAGACAAGUGUAAGGGGAUGCGAUGCUUCAAAGAAAAGGAGGUUGAGGAAACGUAGUGUAUUAAUCGAAAAACAUUUGUAAUGUUUCUAAGAUUAAAUGAUGAGUUAACCCAAAAAUGCCUAUAUUCGCUAAACCGUGAGAUUGCCCUCAUUCAGCAGGCUUUUGCAGAAUAUUAGUGUUAGGAUUAAAAUCUUCAAGAGUGUAUGUAUUUAUUCAUCACUCCUUAAAGCUCUGACUUCCAAGAAGGGCCUUUGGAUUCUAGACAAAAAUGCUUUAGUAGACAAAACUGGUUCCUUGCUCCUCGAACAGGUGACCCAUACCUCGGAGUUAGCGAGUAUUGUGUUAUGGACUAUGUGAAGCCACAAAAUAAACGUGACAGGUAUUACUGAGGGAAACA